AUAAAAACCCUCCCCCACCUCAAAAAAAAACCUCCUUUUAGAUGCUCUGGAUUUGUUAAAAUUCAGAGAUUUACAAAAAAAAAAAUUAACACACACAGAAAAAAUAUAAAAAUAAAAAUAAACCAACCCCAAAUUUGGGUUUUGGGACACACCGAGUCUUCCAGGCACUCAGCAGGGAGGUCCCCGAGGGUCGUGUCCCCAAUUUGGGGCUGGCGGUGGCCGCGGGGACGCCGGAGCCCGGUGGGUUUUAGGGGGGAAGGCAGCGGCGUCCCCGGUGUCACCUCCGUGUCCCCUGGGGUGACCGGGAGGGGAGGGCUCGGUGGUCCCAAAAGCCGAGACCCCCAGGGAGGCAUUAAACAAAAAAUUCUUGUGGUGCUAAGAGGGGAGGACAGGGAGAUUCGUCCUGACCCUCGACCGUCUCCGAACCUUUCCGAGCUUGCCAGGGAAAAGGGCCCGGAGCUCCGCCGGGACACCGGGGUGGCACUGGGGUGGCCCCAGGGUGUCACCUGUCCUGUGUCAGGGCACUGGGAUGUCCCCAGAAUGUCACCUGUCCUGUGCCAGGGCACCGGGGUGGCCCCAGGAUGUCACCUGUCCAGUGCCAGGGCACUGGGAUCUCCUCAGGAUGUCACCUGUCCUGUGCCAGGACACCGGGACCUCCCUGGGAUGUCACCUGUCCUGUGCCAGGACACUGGGAUGUCCCCAGAAUGUCACCUGUCCUGUGCCAGGGCACCGGGGUGGCCCCAGGAUGUCCCCAGGAUGUCCCCAGGGUGUCCCCUACCCUUUGCCCAGCAUGUCCCCGAGAUGUCCCCUGCCCUGUGCCAGCCACCGGGAUGUCCCCAGGAGGGUCCCCGGUGCCACCUCCUUGUUCCCGAGCCCUCACCCAGGUGGCGACACCCGGAGCUCUCCGGAAGCCACCAGGGCUGCGUGGCCUGUCCCUGUCCCCGGCUGCCACCCCGCUGUCCCAACCGGGACGGGAGCGCCUCGUCGGGAUAAAAAAAUCCCGGGAGAACCAAAAUCCCGGGAAUUCCGGGCUCGGUGAGCCCGGGCACCUGCCCGAGCCCUCACCUGUGUCACCGCGGGUGCCACCGCACCUGGCAGGUGUCCCCAGCCCCGCAGGGGGAACGCCGAGCUCAGGUCCUGCCCCUCGGCCGUGUCCCCGUGAUGUCACCGAUGUCACCCCCGAGGCAGCGCCCGUGUCCCCAGGUCUGCCCUGCCAGCCCCGCUGCGUCCUCAGGUGUCACCCUCGGCCCCCAAAUCCUCUGUGACAGAGCCCCCCAUGGUCACCUGCCCGCAAUCUGCCCUCCUGUGCCCCCCAAAUCCGCCCUCCUGUGCCCCCCAAAUCCAUCCCCCUGUGCCCCCCAAAUCUAUCCCACAUGUGCCCCGCAAAUCCAUCUCAUCUGUGCCCCCAAAUCUGUCCCCCUGUGCCCCAAAUCCAGCCCCCUGUGCCCCAAAUCUGCCC
rnacentral:lncRNA from 1 species